rnacentral:rRNA from 1 species
GAGUUUGAUCAUGGUUCAGGACGAACGCUGGCGGCGUGCCUAACACAUGCAAGUCGAACGAAGCCAUUAAUUUCGGUUAAGGGCUUAGUGGCGGACGGGUGAGUAACGCGUGAGGAACCUGCCUUACAGGGGGGGGAUAAUGUCUGGAAACGGACACUAAUACCGCAUGAUAUUCCAGCAUCACAUGAUGCAGGGAUCAAAGGAGCAAUCCGCUGUAAGAUGGACUCGCGUCCGAUUAGCUAGAUGGUGAGAUAAAGGCCCACCAUGGCGACGAUCGGUAGCCGGACUGAGAGGUUGAACGGCCACAUUGGGACUGAGACACGGCCCAGACUCCUACGGGAGGCAGCAGUGGGGGAUAUUGCACAAUGGAGGAAACUCUGAUGCAGCAACGCCGCGUGAAGGAAGACGGUCUUCGGAUUGUAAACUUUUGUACUCAGGGACGAUAAUGACGGUACCUGAGCAGCAAGCUCCGGCUAACUACGUGCCAGCAGCCGCGGUAAUACGUAGGGAGCGAGCGUUGUCCGGAUUUACUGGGUGUAAAGGGUGCGUAGGCGGCAGGACAAGUCAGCUGUGAAAACUAUGGGCUUAACCCAUAGCCUGCAGUUGAAACUGUUCUGCUUGAGUGAAGUAGAGGUAGGUGGAAUUCCCGGUGUAGCGGUGAAAUGC